AGGAUAUGGUGGGCAUCUUCAACACCCACUAUUCUCCUGAGGAGGUCAUCUUGAGUGUCCAAGGUCAGAUCACUGAAACCCCACCUGAUGUGGUGGAAGUUGUCGAAACCAGAUCAGGACGCCUUCGAGAAUUACCUUCAGCCACGGACUGAGAAGGAUGUGGAGGUGAGACUGAACAUGGACAAGGCGCAGGAGAAACAGAAGGAGAGCUACCGGAGCAGAGUCAAGAAGGGGACCAAGUGCUACGACAUCCGGGCAAAUGACUUGGUUUGGAAGAAGAACGAAAGGAAGGCAGAGACCUUGAAAACCUCGCUGCUCCUAGCUGUGGUCACGAUCUGUUAAAGGUUACCUAGGGUUACCUAAGGUUACCUAGGAAGCUAACCAUCUUCUGCAGUUGGACGGUCUACCACUGGAAGCAUUGACGCCCUACACUUCAGUGAAGCCCAAUUUACAAAGGAGGUUAAGCUUUGGUUGACAUUUGAGAAAGCAAGAAAUGGUUGUUAUACUAAGCUUACAAAAAUGUACCUCUUCAAUUUACCUCUCCAAAUGACUUUAGGACCAUCGACUGUCCGAGCCCCCCAGGAGGUAUCCCAUCUACCAGAACCAGUGAGUUCGGAUCAGUCUGAUUCUCUGUGCUCUGAGUCGGAGGGGGACUAGCUUGAGAGCUAGGGGUUUUGGCCAACACCCAGAUCCACCUGAUGUCCUCCAUUACCAACCAUUGUUUUCAUUACCUCAUCUACAGCUACUGUUGUCAUUACGUCAUCUACAGCUACGGUUAUCAUUAUCUGCUAAGAAAGCUGUCUUGCGCUAUCAUACUGGGCACAUAAUAUGUGAGAGACACAGAUUAACUAAAAACAUUAGCACUGAAAAUCCUCUGAACAAAGCGAACAGCAGUGCCUGGACUUCGCAGUCUCCUUCUUCAAGUCCCCCCUUCUGAGACUGGGUGCCUGUUGAGAACAAGUGACAGGCAGAAUCUCCCACCCACACAGCAACCACCUCCUAUAUUCCACACACCAGAAUUAUGUAUUUAGUCUAUGAUUGCCAUGUGAAAAUAAAUUAAUGACACAACUGUACCAAAAAAUAUCAACGUUUCUGUGUUACAAUCUUAAAUAUUGACGGGUUGGUUUUCACAACAUGUUCAUUGCUGUAAGGUAUCCUUUGAUGGUAUUUAUUUGUUCCUCAUUAUUCAUUGAAUGUAGUAAAUUCUGCCGUAGGGAAAGCGUGCAUCUCACAGGUGAGGGCAACGACCUCUUCCUUGAGUUUGAGAGCUGAUCCCUCUUUUGUUCUAGCAAGAGCUGUGCUCUUGGGGUAAUUCUCAAAAUGCAUUUAUUUUUAAUUUUUAAAAGGAAGUGUCAGGGAACAUUGUUUUUUACAUGUAUCUAACCUUUGU
ensembl:lncRNA